UACGUAGGGGGCUAGCGUUGUCCGGAAUCAUUGGGCGUAAAGCGCGUGUAGGCGGCUUGCCAAGUCCGAUGUGAAAGCUCGGGGCUUAACCCCGAGUCUGCGUUGGAAACUGGCUUGCUUGAGUCCGGAAGAGGAGACUGGAAUUCCUGGUGUAGCGGUGAAAUGCGCAGAUAUCAGGAAGAACACCGGUGGCGAAGGCGGGUCUCUGGGACGGUACUGACGCUGAGACGCGAAAGCGUGGGGAGCAAACAGG
rnacentral:rRNA from 1 species